ensembl:lincRNA
AAGAUGACCAGGGCCAUGACAGAGACAGGGAACUCCAAGAGAGAAGUGGGUCUGGGGGAGGGAGGGAAAAAACAUGCCCAUUCCCAUUGGAUACAUGACUUCUUGUUCCUGGCAGGGACUUUCAAUGGGGACAGUGAAGGGAGAAAUGGACCCAAAUGAGAGGAAGGCAGAACUCCGAGGAAUGCCCACGUGGAGAGGAGUGUCAGUGCCACAGACAAAAGGGAACAGUGGGCUUUGGGGAUGAGCCAAGAAAAGGGAGGAGUGUCCCCAAAAGGAGACUGCAAAACAAUUCUUUCAAGGAGACCCAAGAAGAGGACCUGGUCCCACGACUCUCUGGAGUCAGCUUCAGGAGUUCUCAUCCACAUGGGAGAACAGGCCUCUCACAAGCAAGAACAUGCUGAAGUCCCUCCUCCAGAGUUGUCUUUGGAGGAUGCCAUUGCUGGCCCAGCCUGUCGUCAGCAGCCAGUACUCCUUCUCAACUACCUCUGCAGUGCAGAGCCCAGCCUAAGUCCCCCACCUCUGACUCAUUCACCAACCAGAAGAAGUUCACAGGUGCUUAUCAAGUCCUUCCUGGCUCCGGUUACCACUUCCCUACUGUGACAGGUAAUCUUGACACCUUCUUCAGUGUCCUCUCAUCUAGGGAAUGCUUCUGAAGAUGUCAACUCUCCAGGCUUACAACAUAAAGUUACUCUUGGCCUCAGGAAUAAAAUCUUAUGUCACGGGCUCAAUGUUUACACUCCAAAUUUGGGUCUAGCAUGAGCCAAUACAAAGGCAGCACCAUCUCAUUGUAUAUCUCUAAAGUGCUACUCGGUCUGCCCCUCUUCUUCCUCCUAAGAGGGUCUUCACUUGGAACGUGGUCAUUUGGAAAUGCAGUCAAGUAAGAGCCAAAGUCCUUGUGGAAAUUGUACAUCUUCCUUUCUACAAGUCUCUAUUUUUAAAAAAAUCAUUUUUUUAAAAUUAUGAACGUAGAUAACUACAAACACACAGCAAUAUCAAUAACUUUACCAUCAAUAGAAAUCGAUGAUACCUUCCUAUCACAUUGUUAAUGGUAUUUUGAAUUAUUAUCUAGUCUUACCUUUAUUUCAACAUUUCGGAAGUCUGAACCACCACCAGAUCUUGUUCUAGAUGUGCUAAUAAAUCAACAAAUAUAGUACAGGCACUAUAUCCACAAACUUGCCUCUUAGAAGUAUCUUGGUAAUUUUGUUUCAAUAUAAUUUAUGCACUGAAACACAUUAUUCUGAGAAGUAGUCCAUAGGGUUGAAGGUACAAGAAAGGUUAAAAAAAACAAACAAAAAACUUUCAACAUGGAGAUCUUCUUAAACCCUUAACAAUUUAAACUCAUCCAGGGACUCAUGCUGGUGAAUUAGAAGUUCUGCAUCUGGGCUGGGCCGUGCUGAAAUCUGCUCCGUCUUUGUCAGUGUUCCUCUGGCACGGGGGGCAGGGAUGGGGGAUCUCAGUGGGCCCAGGCAUGUGGCUUCAGUUUUCCCAAUGUUCUGGCAUUCCAAGGAUUCUGGAAGAAUAGGGCAUCUCUUUUGCAGGUCAGAGGAAAUGGGUAGCUAGCCAGCUAAAUAGAUUUCAUGCUUGACUUCAGAGGAAUAGCCCAAAUGAUCAUCUGUUUGGGAGAGUAAAUUAAAGAGGUAAGCAGGGAGGCGGGUUU